rnacentral:rRNA from 1 species
GCGUGAGUGAUGAAGGCCCUAGGGUUGUAAAGCUCUUUCAACGGUGAAGAUAAUGACGGUAACCGUAGAAGAAGCCCCGGCUAACUUCGUGCCAGCAGCCGCGGUAAUACGAAGGGGGCUAGCGUUGUUCGGAAUUACUGGGCGUAAAGCGCACGUAGGCGGAUACUUAAGUCAGGGGUGAAAUCCCGGGGCUCAACCCCGGAACUGCCUUUGAUACUGGGUAUCUCGAGUCCGGAAGAGGUGAGUGGAAUUCCGAGUGUAGAGGUGAAAUUCGU